rnacentral:sRNA from 1 species
GCCAGGUGUGGUGGCACAUGCCUGUAAUUCCAGCAACUUGGGAGGCUGAGGCAGGAGGAUCUCAAGUUCAAGACCAACCUCAGGAACUUGAGGUGAAACCCUGUCUCAA